CACAGAGAGGUCACACAGUAGAUCAACGCACCAAAUGGCGAACAUGCUCAGACACAAUACUAGACCUUUCAACAAGCCCCACAAAACCAUGUUCACAUUGUGGUGAUACCUGUUCCAGGCUGAGUCCCAAACUGCACCCUGUUCCCCAUAUAGUGCACUAACUUUUGACCCUUUGGGUCCUGGUCAAAAGUAGCGCACUAUAUAGGGUGCCAUUUGGGACAUGCACCUAUAGUUUGAUGCCAUUGAAAAGGCGUGAUGAGUCACUUGAUUUGUGAACAUAGGUCUCCCAGUCCUUCCAUUCACCAACAUCAGUAAUGACCGUGCACACAAGAGCACAGCUGUGUUGGGAAUGAAGCAGCUUCCUGUCUGGCAAAAGUGGCUACCUUUUGAACCAACUCCAUUCGUCAACAGCAAGCAGGCACAGUACGGGGAAACUGUUCGUGAGCGCAGAUGAAAAGAGGGAGCCGUGACAGGGGGACUCCACAUGGGAGUCUGGAUCCGUUUUACUGUACUGCUGGUGUCAGACGACAUGCCCCAGACUGUCUGCUAGGUACAGCACACUUAUUCCCCCUGGUUUGUUUAGAGGGAUGCCGUGUUACCCGAGCUGUUAAAAGCAUACCCCCACUUAAAUCCCCAGUGGUCCCUUGUAAAAUACCAAACGAAACCGCCCCCAAAAGAGCACGGCGUGACAUCAACAGCUCUGCCAUGCGGGAUGAUUCAAUGUCACUGCAAAAAACAAAACAAAAGGGGGCCACACAUUACAUGAAACAAUUCAAAACUAAACCUCUAUACUCCAUACAUACAGUCCAAGAACCAUAAACCUAAACGCGAGGAUCAUAUACAUUAACAAGCGUCUAAGUAGUUAGGCUAUUUUUUUUUUUAUCAGCGUCUAACAAGCGCUUCGUGCCUCUUCGUAUGCUAUUAACAGCUCUCCGGGCACAUAAGCGGUGGCGUUUAUAUGGAGCAGCUCUAGAAGUCCUCUUUCCCUGGCUGUGGCGUAUUCCCGGAGUUGGACUGGAUACACUCCACUAUGGACAGCAGUGGCAAAGGGCCUCACAUUGAAGCAACAGCUGGAGAGAAAGCACAGCCUUAAAAGGCCACUGGAGAUCCCUGCAACGGCCUGUUAGUAUUAGGAUACAGAGAGUUGGAGCUGGCCCGGGCCUGCAUACCUUCCCCAACAACAUUCCCCAAAGCUACAGGACCGCUAUUCUUUUUUUAACGAGAGACAAUACAAUGAUCGGUAUCAGUAGGAGCAGUGGUUUUAAAAUAGUGGAUUAAUACCAUAUAUCGCUCACUUGAAAAAGGGAAAAGACUUCCGCCACUCGUAAUCACCUCCUGAAUCUCAUCAACAGAGGCAAAAAAAAUGGCGUCGCUGCCCGAUUUGUGUCAAAUGGAACGUACCCACAAUGGGGAGGUUGAGAGCUGCCCGAUUUGUGUCAAAUGGAACGUACCCACAAUGGGGAGGUUGAGAGCUGCCCGAUUUGUGUCAAAUGGAACGUACCCACAAUGGGGAGGUUGAGAGCUGCCUGAUGUGUGUCAAAUGGAACGUACCCACAAUGGUGAGGUUGAGAGCUGCCUGAUGUGUGUCAAAUGGAACGUACCCACAAUGGUGAGGUUGAGAGCUGCCUGAUGUGUGUCAAAUGGAACGUACCCACAAUGGUGAGGUUGAGAGCUGCCUGAUGUGUGUCAAAUGGAACGUACCCACAAUGGUGAGGUUGAGAGCUGCCUGAUGUGUGUCAAAUGGAACGUACCCACAAUGGUGAGGUU